rnacentral:rRNA from 1 species
ACCGGCAAACGGGUGCGGAACACGUACGCAACCUUCCCGGAACAGGUGAAUAGCCCUGCGAAAGUAGGAUUAAUACACCGUAUGAUAUUUGAGUGGCAUCACUUAGAUAUUAAAGGUAGCAAUACCGGUUUUGGAUGGGCGUGCGCCUGAUUAGGUAGUUGGUGCGGGUAAUGGCCCACCAAGCCUUCGAUCAGUAACUGGUGUGAGAGCACGACCAGUCACACGGGCACUGAGACACGGGCCCGACUCCUACGGGAGGCAGCAGUAAGGAAUAUUGGUCAAUGGACGGAAGUCUGAACCAGCCAUGCCGCGUGAAGGAUGACUGCCCUCUGGGUUGUAAACUUCUUUUAUCUGGGACGAAAAAAGGGCUAUCGAGCUCACUUGACGGUACCAGAGGAAUAAGCACCGGCUAACUCCGUGCCAGCAGCCGCGGUAAUACGGAGGGUGCAAGCGUUAUCCGGAUUUACUGGGUUUAAAGGGUGCGUAGGUGGGCGAGAAAGUCAGCGGUGAAAUCUCCGGGCUUAACCCGGAAACUGCCAUUGAUACUAUUUGUCUUGAAUACUUUGGAGGUAAGCGGAAUAUGUCAUGUAGCGGUGAAAUGCUUAGAUAUGACAUAGAACACCAAUUGCGCAGGCAGCUUACUACACAGUAAUUGACACUGAGGCACGAAAGCGUGGGGAUCAAACAGGAUUAGAUACCCUGGUAGUCCACGCCCU